rnacentral:rRNA from 1 species
CCUUCGGUUGUAAAGCUCUUUCAGAUGCGAAGAUGAUGACGGUAACAUCAGAAGAAGCCCCGGCUAAUUUCGUGCCAGCAGCCGCGGUAAUACGAAAGGGGCAAGCGUUGUUCGGAUUUACUGGGCGUAAAGGGCACGCAGGCGGUCCUGCCAGUCAGGGGUGAAAGCCCGGGGCUCAACCCCGGAACUGCCUCUGAUACUGCAGGACUAGAGACUAGGAG